GAUGAACGCUGGCGGCGUGCCUAAUACAUGCAAGUCGAGCGAACAGACGAGGAGCUUGCUCCUCUGACGUUAGCGGCGGACGGGUGAGUAACACGUGGAUAACCUACCUAUAAGACUGGGAUAACUUCGGGAAACCGGAGCUAAUACCGGAUAAUAUAUUGAACCGCAUGGUUCAAUAGUGAAAGACGGUUUUGCUGUCACUUAUAGAUGGAUCCGCGCCUCAUUAGCUAGUUGGUAAGGUAACGGCUUACCAAGGCGACGAUGCGUAGCCGACCUGAGAGAGUGAUCGGCCACACUGGAACUGAGACACGGUCCAGACUCCUACGGGAGGCAGCAGUAGGGAAUCUUCCGCAAUGGGCGAAAGCCUGACGGAGCAACGCCGCGUGAGUGAUGAAGGUCUUCGGAUCGUAAAACGCUGUUAUUAGGGAAGAACAAAUGUGUAAGUAACGAUGCACGUCUUGACGGUACCUAAUCAGAAAGCCACGGCUAACUACGU
rnacentral:rRNA from 1 species